CCUCGGAUGGUCGGUCCGAGCUUGAGCUCGCACAGUCGCUCAUGUCCACGCUGAGACCGUGGGAUAGCCGCUUGGUCUGGAUGGCGAAGCGGAGCUCCUCCUUCACCAGCGGCGUAAAGCUGGUGAAAUCGUCUAGGUUUACAUGGACUGUGAAAGACAGACUGACACAACCCACACACAUUAUCUCUUCCUGUUUCUCUCAGACACAUACUAGGUUAGUGCAAGAAAAACCGUGUUAGACACAGAGACACACCUUAAGUUAAGCAUUGGAUGGAUCAAGUGAGUGAUCUCGUAAUUAUUAGUUUGUCCCAUUUCAAAACUGUUGUUUCAAAUCUCUCUUUUUCAGAUAAGAUGUUGGACAACUGCUUCCACCUUCCCUUCAUAUUAACUGUCAUAAUAAUAGAUUCUUCCUUGGUAACUACACACAUUGUCAUCCAUUGGACUACUUGAAAGUCCCUGUGAUUGCUUCCAUAAUUACCUAAGACACUAAGAACUGUAUAUGCUUCUUCCCCAGAGUGCACAAUGUUAUUCCCCCAUAUUGGCACGCUUGAUAGAUUGACUCAUACAGUACAUUAUCAAAGAAACGGAAAGUACAGCUGUUUUGUUGUAUCAAAAGAAAACACGUUUUGGAGAGCAUAACCUUUUUCAUCAAAGCUACACCUUCAUGCCCACAGGAUGUUUUGGUUUUAUUUUUGGUUUUAUCACAUAAAAUGCCUUCAGCACUCAUUGUACUGCAUCCAAAGUAACUCACCCUCUGCCACCCUCUGGAGUGGUGUCAUAGUGGCGCGACCAUGUGACUGAUGGGAAGCGGAUUGCACUUGUAUUCCGAAGACUGCAGGCAGUGGGGAGUCUUGAGCCAAUCAGGAAUCUCAGGUGAAACAGGAAGUGAGAUCCAAAACAGAUCUGCCUCGUCACUGUGCCGCAGGAAAGACCAUGGAAAAUAACAUCUCUGGAACCAAAAACAUGUUCCCCCGGAAUGUCCCGCGUAUGUGGAAUCGUCAGCAACACCUGCCUGAAUCUUCCCAUACCACAGUCACAUGAAAAAGGGAGUUUUCUGGUUGGGCUACACAGGUCUCAUUUUAGGACUGACGCUUAAGAAAAUCUUCCCCUCCCUCUUUUAAGGUAAGCUGAGGCAGAGCCGGCCCUAGGGUUCCCUCGGGAACCAAUCGUGGGACCCUAAACAAAUAUUUAGUUUGUUUAUUGGGUCUGGCCGGCCCUGAGCUGAGGUUAGUUUACCUAACACUUUACCUAACACAGGAAGGAAGAUGGUAAGAACUUCAUCUUUACAGUUCAGUAACAGGCCACAGGGUAUACAUAUAGUUGAGGGCAAUCGUGCUGCAAGGUCUGGUUUGUGAAUAUAGCUGGCUUGUCACACUGUCAGAC